rnacentral:lncRNA from 1 species
AAACAAAUUUAAUAGUGUUAUACUGCCAUCACAAAGUUAGCAGGCUUUAUAGGAACAAGCAUUAGGAAAUGCCAAGGCUAUUUAGUUUCAACUAUAAAAUCUCAUAAUCAUCUGAUGGCAAGGUUUGGAGAAUGCUUUCUUUGGGCUCGACGACCGCAAUGGCAAAGACAUGUAUGAUUGAACAUUUGAGAUUUAUUCAUAACUACAUCAGCGGUCAAAUGAAGUCAGGCAAACAACACAGCUAUUGAUAUUCCAAAAGCAACCAGCAAAACAUGGAGAAUGAUAAUUUGAAACCACUCAAACUCGCUGGAACCUUCAUUUUGAACUACAUCCAAAAAACUAGUGUUGCUGCCAAGGUUUUAAGUGCCAGUUUUGGUACCAGUACUAGCAUCCAAAUCAGUGCUCUGUAGGUAUCGUGCAGGUUUUGGUAUCGACACUCAGUAGAAUGGGCUUACUGGAUAUUGGUCCGCUUCCGGUACGGACUGGUAUGGUUUGUACUCAAAACCAUGGUUGUUAGCUUCUGUUCAGUAUACAGGGACCUUUUCUUUGGUUAAAAGUCAUUGCAAAGUUCACUCCUUCAGAUUUCAUCCUGACAACAAGCUACCUUGUUUAUGAAGCUAACCAAAAGAAGCACUGCAUUUUUGAGGUCAGCCAUGCCAUCACAAAUGAAGUCUUUAUACAUCAAUAAACUACUCCCUCAAACAUGAUAACAGAAAGGAUUUGUUGUAAAUGCUGCUUACCAAAUGUACAGUCGACCAUCAUGUAAAUGCAUGAUGGUUUUUAUGUAAUACCUGCUGUCAUCAUGUAAUGUCCUUACAAAUCUUUCAUUUUCUACAUCAAAAAGUGAUUUGCCCUCCAUUUGCACAAAAUUGCUUGUCAUGCAAGGCUUGCAAAUUGGUAAGCCGUAGUUGCUAAAGAGAAAAUUAUUUGGAUUGAUCCGAGGAUUGAAGUGGCACACCCAGGCACGUGAUGCUGAGGUUUUACUGAAUAUUUUGAUUGAUAGGUACAAUGGAUCUCCUUGAACAACAUAGGCAAAAUUCCUUGGAUAUGCACUUGAGGGAGAAACUAAACACCUCACCAUAACAUGUUGAAUAAAUCCUUGCUUAAAUCUAGCACCAGAGAAAUAGUAACACAUGAUGAUCGUUGGUAGGAGAAAGGAUGUGUUCAGAAAACUUAAUGUCUUGUCUCUAGUAUUCUUUUAUAUAAAAGAAAGGGCUUGGAACCAAACUCGAGGAGCAAAACAGGUUAGACUUCGGAAGGAUGUUCGAUUAAUAAAAUGGAAAAUUAGAAAGAUAACUUGAUGGUGAGUGGAUGGACUCUGUUCAAUAUGUUAAGUGGAAAAGCUCCCAGGGUGGAUGUAUCUGUAAUUAAUCCAUCUCUUUCCACAAUUCCAAAAAUGUUUGGCGACAAGUUAAUGAUUGUGCAUGUAUACUCACAGUAAUGCAAGCAACAUUAUGGUCUUGCAUACGGUUUCUUGACUGUGAACAUUUCAAUCCAAUGCUCUCCUAAUUUCUUGUUCAAUAAAUCUUGGAUAUGUGUGCUUUCUAAUUCCUUAAUGUCCCUUCUUUUCACCAAAAUGAAUUACCUUGCUUUUGAUACAUGUGAUCCAUACUCUCAUUGACUCACUCUAUGAUCUAAGUUCUAAGUACCCUUGCAAACUUAUCCUUGCAUAAUUGCUUGAUUCCUUAAUCUUCCUACCUUUCAAUGAGACUGAAUUACUAUUUCAACUCUUCCAAAUUCCUAGGUUCUAACGUAGCAAGCUUGGAUCUGAUCCAAAAAGACUAUCCAAAAAGGUAUUAUUUGGAUUCCUUGGCUCUGUGUAAGGAUCCAAGAUCUGCCUAGUGCCUAGGCAAUGUGGGACCGAACACACACCCACAGUCCUCACAUAUAGAUAUACUUUCAUGUUUUCUGUAAAUUUAGUAGGAUUACACACACCCCUCUCCAAGCCUUGUAACUUGUUAAUAUUGAGUCACACUCAAAAUUCAAGAAGAAUUUGUCGAUCAUCUUCAGGGUCCCAGAACCUAAGUACACACACACACAAACACAAACAAAAUUCAAGAAGUAUUCGUCAAUCAUCUUCAGGGUCCCAGAACCUAAAUAGUGCAAUGUCACUUCGAAAACCCUGAUCAAGAUCAAAUUAACAAAUAGUUUGACUGCAUGCUGUAGUUCUAUCACUAGCCCACGUCCUCCAUUAACGCCUUCAAAAAGCAAAUACAGGAGCACAUUUAGCAACGCAAAAUUAACUGGAAAUAUCGUGACAUUGCUUCGAAAAUAAAAAG